CUCGUCAGUGCUCAAAUCGCUGAAGUUGAGACCACCAUCGCGAGCCAAUUUGUCGGUGUCAGGGUCCAUUGCGACGAGCGUCGAAGUUGGCGUCAUAGAAUGAAGUACCAGCUUAUGGGCGUCUUGCGCUGGAGUUUGAUAAAGUUUGAAGUAUUGUAGCGGCGCCUGGUGGCGGUGCGGGAAACGACAUCUGGGUCGUACCAGCUUGGGUCGUAUUGAAACCUGGCUGUGGCGAAGCACGUUUCUAGGCCGAGAAAAAAGUGCGUCGAUUCGCACUUUUUUAUGCCCUGUUGCGAGUGCGAAAAGGCUCGUCACUUCUCACAGACCACGCCGACCACGCUGCGAGCUCGCCGCAGCCUAUAGUUUAACGAAAACGGACUCUCCGUGUGCCGUGGGACGUAAUGCUGGGAACAGAAGGAAUCGGCGACGCCGCUCCGGAGAGACCUAGCCCAGCCUCGAAAAGGCGUCACCGUCAUUACUUCUGCGUCGUGGGCUGCCAUGAACAAGAAGGCCUGAAUCCCAACACCAGAUUCUACAGUUUUCCUUCAUGGCCACAAGUGGAGCUUCGGGCGCGCUGCAUAGCUGCAGUUCGUCGCGCAGAAUAAGGCACCAAAGCAGAGCGUGGUAUUUGGAAGAUGGCACACCAGCCAUCUACUUCAUGGCGAGAUGACGGGCAACCAUUGGGCUACCCAAACAAAAAGAAGCCCCAAGUUGCCAGGCAACAGGAACAAACAAGACGCUUCCAAGAUAAACCUGAGAUGGCAGAGGCACAAGCAAGUUUCACGUCUGUGGAGUUAAGGGGACUCACUAAAUUUUUUUUUUCUCCGCGGAAGUGUGAAAAGGACAUUCCCACUGAGAUGUCACAAACAUUAGGGGAGUAGUGUUCUUCCUACAGCACAGCAAAAAACUGGGUUUCUCAUUUCAGGACAGGGCAUUUUAUCAUUGAAGAUGAACCCCGCAGUGGGCACCCCCCAACCUCAACAGAUCCAGUAACAAGCGAUGCUGUCCAUAAGCUGCUUCUUGAGGAUAGGCGAAUAUCCACCAUAAAGAUAGCCCAGUUUCUGGACAUCUUCCGGGAACGUAUUGGUUUCAUUAAUACCAAUUUCCUACAUAUGCACAAGCAUUCAGUGAAGUGGGUGCCAAAAUGUUUGAACAGUGAACAGAAAUUGGCACGAGUUGAGGCAUCCAGAGCUGCUUUGGCCCAUUUUGAUGAUACAAAGGAUUUUUUUUGGCUAGGUUAGUGACCGAGGAUGAAACCUGGUUUCACAUUUCUGACCCAGAAACCAAGGAACAGUCAAAGCAAUGGCGUCACAGUGGGUCCCCAUGACCGAAAAAGUCCAAAAAAGUGAUGGCGUCCACUUCCUGGGACAAAGGCGGUGUUAUUUUGGCGGACUACCUGCGUCAGGGCUGUAGUAUAACCAGAGAGUACUACACUAGCCUCCUGGAGCAGUUGGAGGCAGUAAACACGAAACACCGGAGAAAGUUGUCCAAAGGGAUCCUUGUGUAGCAGGACAAUGCACCUUCACAUGUCAAAAGUUGUAGCUGCUAAACUGAAAACCCUGGGUUUCCAAUUGGUCCACCAUUGCCCCUAUUUACCUGACCUGGCACCUUCCGACUACCACUGUUUCCUAAUUUAACAGAACACCUGAAGGGUCGCCAUUUUGACGAUAUUGUUGAUGUCAAGCAUGCUGCAGAGAGCUGGUUGACGACCUACCACAAGAUGGACUAGAAAAGCAGAAACAAUGAUGUAAUGAGUGCAUCAGUCUGAGGGGGGAACAUGUUGAAUAAACGUGUACUUUCAAAACUUUGACUAUUCUUUAUAUGCAAAGCCAGGAACUUUUCAGCACCCCCUCAUAAAUAACUGAUAAAAAAGUUAUAAUGACAUAUUUCAAAAUACAGAAAAAAAUGCAGUUUGGCCAAUUGUUCGACCUACAUAUGAACUUCCUGAUGCUACCUCUUCACACUGCUGUCAGCACUAUUUGAAGUAGUGUGGUAUUUUUUCUUUGCAUGCCUCUGACUCAAAGCAUGCGAUAGUGCCUGGCAGAGCAAGACCACCAAUAUUGCUGAUGUACAGUUGGUUCCACGUAAAUCACCCUUGUUUAUCAUGAGUGAUUUGGAUUGUGUAAGAGCUACAUGGCCUUUCCAACUGCAAUAUUUUCUGCAUUGAGUGAUUAAAAGUUCACCUUUAGUAUCCCCUUUUAUGUGAACUUAGAUCAGUAGAUUAUAGUACUUUUGAAGUGCAAAUAUGUGAUUUUUUACUGAUAACAGCAAGUUGGUAAGCCUGCAGGGAACAAUGUAGAAGCAAGGACAGGCAGUGACUCGAACUGCCGCUGUGUCCUUCAUUCCAUUCAUCUUUUCCCGUGCAUUGUUAUUCUAUUUCCCACAAACAAUGUUUCAGCCAUGGAGCUGUUCUGGCAUGGCCAAGUUCAAAACUGCAAGCACCUCUACUGAGGUGGCCAUAGUUGCCUGUGUAACAUUCGCACCUGUCCCCGUUUUCACAUGUGACGCAUUCUGCAAAUCGUAACAUUUUAGUGGGAGUGCGCUACUUUGUAGAAUAGCAUAUUUCUUAACCAUACUGCCCUAUAUGCUUGAAACAUUUCAUCCACACGCUGGUAACUAUUAUUUAUUUUAGUUAAAAUUCAGUUUGGGUUCACCAUGUUUCAAGACUAUUGGUUUGAAUAUGGUUUUCAGUUCAGGUUCAGUUCAACACCCUGACAAUAACUCUAGAUACUGGCACAAAUAUUCACUGCAUGUUCCUCAAUUUUUCUAUAGGUCAAUUGUCCUUCCCUUAGCGAUAAUUUUGGUGGAUGCUUCUAAAUGAAGCACACACAUGCACGCAUUUAUGGAGAGAGGAAAAAAACUAGGAGAGAAUAAUGUUAGGUAGUUAUCCUCAGCAAGGCAACCUCCUUUGACACUGCCCCUUUUUUCUCUUUUCCCUUCAAGGCCCAUGAACACAUUGACUCUAGGGAAAUAAGCCUGGGCAUGAAGGACAGAUCUUUCAAGGCAUUGUUUGGUUUGAGGUGGCUUUUAGUUAUGCUCAGGUUACAAUCAGCCUAUGCUACCAAUUUUCCACUCUACUCUCUGCGACACAUGAGGUAGCUAGAAAUUACCACUUGCCUAUCACAUAGUGUGGGGUGGUUUCCCAUUGGCCUUCCUUUAUAUUUUUUUUAUGACGAGGCUUCACGCAUGAUGCUCCCUUGUCUUUUUAUUUCCAUCAUGCAUGCAUUGUAGUAAGCAGCUAAAGUACCACAAUGCAUGAUGGUGAAUGCAAAAUUAUAUAGAUAUAUGCAUACGUACAUACCCAAUUGAUAAUCAUUCAAGGGUCAAACUGUGGAAUGACCAAUUUGAAAGUUUGUGCUUGUUUUGCCAUUUGCCUUUGUGUGUUCUUCACUCUCAGUCCCAGCAUAGUUUGAAGCAUGUUCCUAGAGGAUACCUGCUGGUCAUCGCAUUCCACUAAGCACAUAUGAGUCAUUGCCAGGGGAAAUUAAUCAAGAAUGCUUCAAAAAU